AUUGAACGCUGGUGGCAGGCCUAACACAUGCAAGUCGAACGAGUGGCGGACGGUUGAGUAAUGUCUGGGAAACUGCCCGCUGGAGGGGGAUAACUACUGGACACGGUAGCUAAUACCGCAUACCAUCGGAUGUGCCCAGAGGGGAUUAGCUAGUAGGUGGGGUAACGGCUCACCUAGGCGACGAUCCCUAGCUGGUCUGAGAGGAUGACCAGCAACACUGGAACGGAGACACGGUCCAGACUCCUAGGGGAGGCAGCAGUGGGGAAUAUUGCACAAUGGGCGCAAGCCUGAUGCAGCCAUGCCGCGUGUAUGAAGAAGGCCUUCGGGUUGUAAAGUACUUUCAGCGAGGAGGCGUUACUCGCAGAAGAAGCACCGGCUAACUCCGUGCCAGCAGCCGCGGUAAUUC
rnacentral:rRNA from 1 species